GCUGUAGAUUAAAGCCUGUUAUUAUUUAUUCGUUGACGACAUCAUUCCAUUCUUAUAUAUUUAAAGAUGUUACAAUCGUAGUUAUAUCAUUUCCGCAUGUGUGCCAUCAUUUAUCACUUCUUGUGGGUGUUGUCUACAAAUGAUCAAAUCAGGAUCGUGACUGAUCAGUCAUCUAGGCAUCUUAAUCGACAGCAGACGUAAAAUAUUUAUGGAGAAAAUUCUAAGAGUUUGUUUUCUAGAUGUUGUUUGUCAGGCGUUGUUUAUCUGACAUUUCUAUAUAUAUUGGCGCACGUGUUGGAGAGUAAGAUAUGUGCUAAACGAUGAGUGAUAGUCUGCAAUCGUGAAUCUGGCAAUUAUGAAGUCGUUUCUAGUGAUCCUAAUGGUACUGACCGUUUCCAUACUGUUUGCAACGUCGGUCGAAGGGCAUACAAUCAUAUUUCGUCCGUUGUUUGUCUACAAAAUGCAGCAAGCGAAAAAACGAGAGCGUCAGAAGAUUCGUGAGUGGAACAGGCUGCAUCCGAAUGAGAACUACUAUGAUUUCCAUAAACCAGCAAACAACUUUUAUUACUAUUAUUAAGAUUUUGAAUGAGAUUUUUAGUAAAACGAUAAGAUAUAUUUAAUUAGAUUAAGUAUUCAAGAAUGUCACAUUUAAUGUUUUUCGAAAUCUUUAAACUGGAACAAUAUCAUGAUGUAAGUGACGAUAGCUGCAAACGUCUGUGAAGUAAAAUUAUUCUCAGGUUGAAUAAAGAGAAACAGCAAGAACUUA